GGUCAUAAUAGACUGGUUAUAUUGAGACGACAUUUAUGAAUCGUCUUAACAUAUGAGAUUAAUUGUCAAAAAUGCAAAAAAGUUGCGGCCCAAAUAAAUCCACUAAAUUUAUUAACAAAUAUUCACUUCCCCUCUUUGAAAUAUUGUGCAUCCUAAAUCAGAACCUUUUUGUUUUAUCUCCUGCUAAUCCUUCGUAUCCCAUUUCUUCUUCUUAAGACCGGAUACUCAAUUAACAAGUCAUCUUCUGGAACACCCAAAUUCACAAUUCAUCUUAUCCCGACAGCGAUUUUUCUUCAACGCGAAAUGUCUGAUUCUUGGCGAAGUAUCGGCGUAUGUUAUUCCAUAAAGGUUAGACCUAGUUUUUUGAGAUUAGGGUUUUUUUCGUUUAUGUGGAUAAAUUGAUAUGUAACUUGGUUGUAUACUCAAAUUGUUGUAUGUUCCCUAUUACCCACACUUAAGCACAAGCAUAGGAUACUUUGUUUUCCUUUGGAGGGAUGAAAACUUAGAAUUUAUUGUGGUGCGAGUGCAAAUCAAUUACUGUAUUAACUUCCUGGUGAGGAUAUAAUAUCGACGGUUUGAUGCCAAACAACUAAGGUUAAUUUUUCUGGAGUUCUUAUGUAUUUAUAUGAAAUAUGAAUAAUUUUACUUCUUAGUUUAUUUUUAUUUUUCUAAUUUUGAACAUGAAAUUUUACACCAUGGUAAAGAGACUAUCUUUUAUCUUUUGUUACAUAGAAAACAUAUAAUUUUUAAUUUGUAUUAAAAAAAACCCAGUAAAGCACUUUUAUGCUAAUGAGACAAGGGCCUAUAUGAAUUAUCAUGUUGUGAUAUUGUGUUAAAUUCAAGAGAACUAAGUAGGGUGCAUUAUUCAUUAGUUAGUUGCCUUCCCACCUUUCUGUCUAACAAUGUUUAUGAGUUAUCCUAAGAGUUUUCUCUAAUUAAAAAAUUCAAUAAUAUACUGUCUUGAAAAUUUUCUGUAGAUAAAUUGAGCAGCAAACUAUGAAAACUUAGUUUCUAUUAUCCUGCUACUUCAUUAAGUAGCAUUAAAGUGAAGUCCAAGUCUGGAUACCUUGCCCAUUCUUUUGGAUAAAUGUAUAGGACAAAAGAACACUUUUAAUGUGACUGAAUAAAUGAAGAAGAAUAAAUAUUUCACAUCUCAUGUGAAUUAUUUAGGAAAAUGUCAAUUUUGUUAAUGGAAGAUGUAGAGAUAUCUUGGUUAUCAGAUUAAAUUUUUUAUUUUUUUGAUCUUCUUGUAAACCCUCAUAAUAGUUUUUUGGUUGUGCAAAUGAAAGGGAAUGAUGAAUUUGGGUUGUACCAAGUCUGAAACCAAGUGGAUUUACAUAUUCGCUUGCACCAAACUCUGUAUUUAUUUUUCAUGUUUUAUAAGUGAUAAAUCGUAUAGUUGUAUUAUUGGAAAAUGGUGGAGUAGCAUCUUGUUAUCCUCCAGCAAGUAUGAUACCAUUUGUUCUUAUAUUUUCUAUUAGAAUACUUAUAUACUCUUAACUUUCUUACGUAUUAUUGUUCUGAAAAGGCAAUUCUUAUCAAGUGUGGAAGAAACUCCACCAAAAAACAUACAAAUCUUACUGUGGCAGGCAAAAGGUCUAGAGGUGAGAUUUAUUUUCAUUUGGUGGAAUUCUACAUGAGCUGACUAUUGGAUUCAAAAGUGAGAUACUAUUGUGUUUAUACAUUAAUUCUCAUUUUUGGCUUAGUUUUCAAUGUCUAUAAUUAUAAGUAGGUAGCUUAUAUUUUUGCACAUUUGAUACUGUUCAUAUUGUCUCCUUACUGAGUAAUAAUAUUUGAUUUAUAUUUUCUCUUGUUUGUGUUCUCCCUGUUGAAUUAUCAAUAGCUUUCCAAUUGUAAAUUGCACUAUUUUUCAGGUUGAAAAAAGAUUUGGCUCCCUUAUCCAAACAAGAAUGCCAUGACUGAAUCCAUUGAAGAUAGUAUUGGUUUCUCCAAGAAUCUAUAGAGCCAAGUACUACAGGUGAAUGCCAUUUUUACUAUGCUUUUAUUUUAUUGUCCUUUUUGAGGUCCUGUUAUUCAACUUUAGUUGUGAGUGUUUAAUUUAUGUGUUUUUAAUCUAUGGUUGUAAAUUUUUCGAUUAUAAAAGAGUAAUAUCAAUUAUUUUUAUAUCUAUCGUAUAAUAUUGAUUUUGCACUAAUGGAAGAAUUUAAUAUUUUCCAGAACUAUUGGUGAUGUUAUAAGACAGUUGCUUGGCCCAUAAUAUUUGGUAAUAAUAUUUUCUAGACCAUAUCAUAAGUUCUUUUGUUUAGAUUUUUACUUGAACUGAACUGGUCUAUGAUUAUUUAAUAGGUUACAGUGGAUGCAUAAAGAAUAUUGAAGACAAUGAGUUUAUGAUCAAGUUAUACCUUUGGAUGCAUUCGAUGUUGCUUUGAAACAUCGGAGUAUUAGUUUUACAUGAGACCUAUGGAAGGGAGAUAUUUUAUAUUUUAGAUGUUGGAGCAGUUAUUUAAAUAUUUUUGUUGUUUUGUAACAUUG
rnacentral:lncRNA from 1 species